UGAGGGAAAGGUGAAAAGAACCCCGGGAGGGGAGUGAAAGAGAACCUGAAACCCUAUGUUUACAAGCAGUGGGAGCGCAAGCGACCAUGUACUUUUUGUAGAACGGGCCGGCGAGUUACUGUGUGUAGCGAGGUUAAGGUGUAGAGCACCGGAGCCGUAGCGAGAGCGAGUCUCAAAUGGGCGAAUAGUUGCAUACAGUAGACCCGAAACCGGGUGACCUAUCCAUGGACAGGAUGAAGCGGUGGUAAAGCACCGUGGAGGUCCGAACCACACGUAUGUUGAAAAAUGCGGGGAUGAGCUGUGGAUAGCGGAGAAAUUCCAAUCGAACUCGGAGAUAGCUGGUUCUCCCCGAAAUAGCUUUAGGGCUAGCGUUAUUUUAGAUUACCGGAGGUAAAGCACUGAAUGGUCUAGGGGCCGCGAGGUUACCAAAGCCUAUCAAACUCUGAAUGCCGGAUAAUUGAUGAAUAGCAGUCAGACUGUGUGAGAUAAGUCUCAUAGUCAAAAGGGAAACAGCCCAGAUCUACAGCUAAGGUCCCAAAUGAACACUAAGUGGAAAAUGAUGUGAAACUGCGAAGACAACCAGGAUGUUGGCUUAGAAGCAGCCACUCAUUCAAAGAGUGCGUAAUAGCUCACUGGUCGAGUGAAUGUGCGCCGAAAAUAUACCGGGGCUAAACGUGAUACCGAAGUCUGGGGAUCAAGAAAUUGAUCGGUAGGGGAGCAACGCAUACGGACAGAAGCAGAAGCGGGAGCGACUGUGGACUGUAUGGGAGAGAGAAUGCCGGCAUGAGUAGCGAGAGCAAAGUGAGAAGGCAUGCCGUCGAAAGCCUAAGGUUUCCUGAGGAAGGCUCGUCCUCUCAGGGUAAGUCGGGACCUAAGCCGAGGACAAGAGUCGUAGGCGAUGGACAACAGGUUGAUAUUCCUGUACCGUACUUAAGCGUUUGACUGAAGCAGUGACACAGAAGGAUAGACAGACCGGGGGAAUGGUAGACUCCGGCCAAGCAGUGAGGCUGACAUGUAGUGAAGUACGCAUGUUAAGGCUGGGCUGUGAUGGGGACUGAAGAUUAGUAAGGAAGCUGUUGAAUUCACACUGGCGAGAAAAGCUGCUAAGGAGCGAGAGUAUGCCCGUACCGCAAACCGACACAGGUAGGCGAGGAGAGAAUCCUAAGACGAGCGGGAGAACCCUUGUUAAGGAACUCGGCAAAAUGACUCCGUAACUUAGGGAGAAGGAGUGCCUCGAGAGAGGCCGCAGAGAAUAGGCCCAAGCGACUGUUUACCAAAAACACAGGUCUGUGCGAAGUAGAGAUACGACGUAUACGGGCUGACGCCUGCCCAGUGCCGGAAGGUUAAGGGGAAGUGUUAGGGCAACCGAAGCACGGAACUUAAGCCCCGGUGAACGGCGGCCGUAACUAUAACGGUCCUAAGGUAGCGAAAUUCCUUGUCGGGUAAGUUCCG
rnacentral:rRNA from 1 species